GCAGCCGCCGCGGGAAUACGUAGGUCCCGAGCGUUGUCCGGAUUUAUUGGGCGCAAAGCGAGCGCAGGCGGUUAGAUAAGUCUGAAGUUAAAGGCUGUGGCUUAACCAUAGUACGCUUUGGAAACUGUUUAACUUGAGUGCAGAAGGGGAGAGUGGAAUUCCAUGUGUAGCGGUGAAAUGCGUAGAUAUAUGGAGGAACACCGGUGGCGAAAGCGGCUCUCUGGUCUGUAACUGACGCUGAGGCUCGAAAGCGUGGGGAGCAAACAGGAUUAGAUACCCCUGUAGUCCCUGUCUCUUAUACA
rnacentral:rRNA from 1 species